rnacentral:rRNA from 1 species
AUUGAACGCUGGCGGCAGGCCUAACACAUGCAAGUCGAACGGUAACAGGAAACAGCUUGCUGUUUCGCUGACGAGUGGCGGACGGGUGAGUAAUGUCUGGGAAACUGCCUGACGGAGGGGGAUAACUACUGGAAACGGUAGCUAAUACCGCAUAACGUCGCAAGACCAAAGAGGGGGACCUUCGGGCCUCUUGCCAUCGGAUGUGCCCAGAUGGGAUUAGCUAGUAGGUGGGGUAACGGCUCACCUAGGCGACGAUCCCUAGCUGGUCUGAGAGGAUGACCAGCCACACUGGAACUGAGACACGGUCCAGACUGCUACGGGAGGAAGCAGUGGGGAAUAUUGCACAAUGGGCGCAAGCCUGAUGCAGCCAUGCCGCGUGUAUGAAGAAGGCCUUCGGGUUGUAAAGUACUUUCAGCGGGGAGGAAGGGAGUAAAGUUAAUACCUUUGCUCAUUGACGUUACCCGCAGAAGAAGCACCGGCUAACUCCGUGCCAGCAGCCGCAGUAA